UACAGAGGCCCCAAGCAUUACCCGGAAUUACUGGGCGUAAAGGGUGCGUAGGUGGCGCUAUUAGUCCUCCUUUAAAUUCUCCGGGCUCAACCCGGAGACUCGGGGGGAAACGGUAGCGCUAGAGGAUGUAAGAGGUAUGUGGAACUCAUGGUGUAGGGGUGAAAUCCGUUGAUAUCAUGGGGAACACCGAAUGCGAAGGCAGCAUACUGGGACAUUCCUGACACUGAGGCACGAAAGCGUGGGUAGCAAAAAGG
rnacentral:rRNA from 1 species